rnacentral:misc_RNA from 1 species
UGUGCUGUGUCGAGCUGAGCGACGCCGUUCAGUGCCCGCCAUACUUGUUACUUUUAGGACGCAAAGAGCGUUCUUUUUUUAUCUUUAUCCUGCGAUUUGAUAUCGUAAUUAAAUAAAUUGCAGAAUACGUGCUGUUCCUUGACGACAUUGAGAAAUUUGUUUGUGCGCGUGUGCUGACAAUUUUUACAUUAUUAACUAUACAUCUCCAGAGUGAUAAGUCAAGAUGGCUGAGCGAUCGAGCAACGGCGAGUACAAUAAGUAUCAAAUGGACGAGAGCGGCGAUGGUGGCAAACCUCGAAUUCCUUUGGAAAAAGAACGCGAUGAUAAAGACCAUCAAGUUGACAAAGCCGGCGAGUACGUGCGGGAAUUGUUGCAAGAAAAAUUGGGUCUCGAUGCACAAAAAUGGCCAAACGCUCUUCGUCUCAUAGAUCAAGAGAUCCAGAAAACCCAAGCAAUCGGGAAGCCCCUGAGGGAUCCGAAGUACGUGGACAUUUAUCGAGAGAAGCCAAUUCGAGUUGCGGUUAAGGUGCUGGUUCCAGUCCGCGAACAUCCCAAGUUCAACUUCGUUGGUAAACUCCUCGGACCUAAAGGAAAUUCCAUGAAGCGUUUGCAGGAAGAAACGAUGUGCAAAAUGGCCGUUCUCGGCCGCGGCUCCAUGAAAGAUCGACAAAAGGAAGAGGAAUGUCGACUGUCGCUCGACCCUAAAUAUGCUCAUCUUUCCGACGAUUUGCACGUUGAAAUUGCAGCCCUGGCUCCACCGGCUGAGGCACAUGCGAGAAUCGCAUAUGCUCUCGCUGAGGUACGCAAGUACUUGAUACCGGACAACAAUGACAAUAUAAGGCAGGAACAGAUGCGCGAAAUGGAGCUGAGCAUGGUCGACGAACCUUCGUCUGGCGAUGACAGGAGACCCUCGGCACGUGGUGGUAUUUUGAGACCGAGCAGCAGACCAGCACCCCCACGCUCCACGAGAGGUCCGUCACGAAUUGCGACGAUUUUGCCACCCCCGUCGAGCCGUGGACCGAUAACGCGGCCGGUACCAGCCAAAACGAAGGUCUUCUCGAUUCUGGAUCGCGCUAGGGUUGCCAUGGACCAGAGCUACGGCUACGACGAUCCAACGCCACCACCAUCCAGUCGGGGCGCCUCGCAUCACGAUUAUGAUUAUCAUGGUUCGUCGAGCAGCAGCAGUCGCUACGGUGAUCGCCAUUACACAUCGUCGGCAACGGACGACGUUUAUCCGUCCUCGAGAUACACGACUUAUGAUUACGAGGACGAGCCGGCGCCGCAUUCCUCCCACGAUUAUUACGAAUCGUCUGACUAUCCAGGUCUAUAGAAGAGUCCUGCAGAUCGCGUUGGAACGCGCUCUCGUGGCUUGAAAUGUUUUUCAUCUCUCUGAAAUCUCGGAUUCGUGAAGUACCUCGAUGAGAAGAGAGAAAACGAAACAUAAAUUGCGCUGCUGAAUUUUUUUCUUUCAUCGAAUGUAACGGGGGAGGCAAUGAGAGAGAAAAAUGAGAGCAAAAAGAGAAACUAAAAGAAAAAAAACAAUAAGAAUGUAACUGCCAAAAUAACCGUCCGACGUCGCGGACAUUGCCCAAUUCUUUACAGGUUCGUCGAUUAUUCAAACUGUCGAAGAAUAUUUUAUAUUAUGUGCCUUAUAAACGAUAAAAAAUCAAAGAAACACAAACAAGCAACCGAUCACAAAUAAAGGACUCUGUGAGUCGCCAAAUCGAUAUUUAUUUAUACCUAAA